rnacentral:rRNA from 1 species
AUAGCGUAUAUUAAAGUUGUUGCGGUUAAAAAGCUCGUAGUUGAAUCUGUGUCCCACGCUGCCGGUUCGCCGCUCGCGGUGUUUAACUGGCAUGAUUGUGGGACGUCCUACCGGUGGGCUUAGCCUCUCGGGGCGGCCCAACUAAUAUCCCAUCGCGGUGCUCUUCACUGAGUGUCGGGGUGGGCCGGUACGUUUACUUUGAACAAAUUAGAGUGCUUAAAGCAGGCUAUUUUCGCCUGAAUACUGUGUGCAUGGAAUAAUGGAAUAGGACCUCGGUUCUAUUUUGUUGGUUUUCGGAACCCCGAGGUAAUGAUUAAUAGGGACAGAUGGGGGCAUUCGUAUUGCGACGUUAGAGGUGAAAUUCUUGGAUCGUCGCAAGACGGACAGAAGCGAAAGCAUUUGCCAAAAAUGUUUUCUUUAAUCAAGAACGAAAGUUAGAGGUUCGAAGGCGAUCAGAUACCGCCCUAGUUCUAACCAUAAACGAUGCCAGCUAGCGAUCCGCCGAAGUUCCUCCGAUGACUCGGCGGGCAGCUUCCGGGAAACCAAAGCUUUUGGGUUCCGGGGGAAGUAUGGUUGCAAAGCUGAAACUUAAAGGAAUUGACGGAAGGGCACCACCAGGAGUGGAGCCUGCGGCUUAAUUUGACUCAACACGGGAAACCUCACCAGGCCCGGACACCGGAAGGAUUGACAGAUUGAGAGCUCUUUCUUGAUUCGGUGGGUGGUGGUGCAUGGCCGUUCUUAGUUGGUGGAGCGAUUUGUCUGGUUAAU